rnacentral:rRNA from 1 species
UACGUAGUGGGCAAGCGUUGUCCGGAAUCAUUGGGCGUAAAGCGCGUGUAGGCGGCCCGGUAAGUCCGCUGUGAAAGUCGGGGGCUCAACCCUCGAAUGCCGGUGGAAACUGUCGGGCUGGAGUCCGGAAGAGGCGAGUGGAAUUCCUGGUGUAGCGGUGAAAUGCGCAGAUAUCAGGAGGAACACCAAUGGCGAAGGCAGCUCGCUGGGACGGUACUGACGCUGAGGCGCGAAAGCGUGGGGAGCGAACAGG